UCCGAUUUGUCACCGGCAGUCUCCCUAGAGUCCCCGGCAUUAUCCGCUGGCAACUAGGGACAGGGGUUGCGCUCGUUGCGGGACUUAACCCAACAUCUCACGACACGAGCUGACGACGGCCAUGCAGCACCUGUACAAGUGUCCCGAAGGAGGCCCCGUGUUUCCACGGGGUUUCACAUGUAUGUCAAGCCUAGGUAAGGUUCUUCGCGUUGCUUCGAAUUAAACCACAUGCUCCGCUGCUUGUGCGGGUCCCCGUCAAUUCCUUUGAGUUUUAGCCUUGCGGCCGUACUCCCCAGACGGGGCACUUAAUGCGUUAGCUUCGGCACGGAGGGAGUUGACACCCCCCACACCUAGCACCCAUCGUUUACGGCGUGGACUAC
rnacentral:misc_RNA from 1 species